rnacentral:lncRNA from 1 species
UAAAAAAGAAAUGAGUAUUUAAAUAUAUCGAAUGCGGAAGCGAGAUCAAAAUUUCAGUUAACAUCCCUUACACAAAAAACCAAAAAAACGUACUUAAAAUAUAAAAGGUUAAACUAACUAAGAAAGAAAACUCGAAAAUAAACUAUGCGUAUGACUACAGAGUCUUUAGGCAUCCCCUUCGUCGUCCUCCUGCGGAACGGGCUCGGGAACCAUGUCUUCCUGAUCUGAAAUGGUUAAUUAAGGAGUGAGCUACACUAGCCCAGUAAGAACAUCACGAUAUCUCACCGUCACGGAGAUAAAGGUGGGUAGAAAAACACAAAAAAGACCAAUGGAGCAUAAUUUACAACAAACUCGUUUAUUAACAUGAAAACCUUAACCAUCCACUUACCUUGGUGGAAUUUAUGAAAACAAUAUGAGAAAAACAAUAACAUUAUCAUAAUCAUUGAAUAAUCUAAGCUGUAAAACAUAACACUUAUCACGCCUCUUGUAAUUCAAUCAUUGUACAACAUAUCUUUUUCUCAUUUACCAGCCUACUAGUAUCCGUGGGGGUCCAU